GUCACUUCUCAGCCGUUUGGCUAAGAUCAAGUGUAUGAUUUGUCCAUCAGAGUAACAAUCUGGAGACCUCCUAAAAAGUUGUUUAUCUUCAAGGUCAUAUUUUUGGCUCAGAGAAAAACAUUUAUCUUUUUCUGUUAAAGAUUUAUUUGUCUGAAAGGCAGAAUUACA
ensembl:snRNA U2 U2 spliceosomal RNA